CAGCAGCCACGGUAACACGUAGGGUGCGAGCAUUAAUCGGAAUUACUGGGCGUAAAGCGUGCGCAGGCGGUUCGUUAAGACAGAUGUGAAAUCCCCGGGCUUAACCUGGGAACUGCAUUUGUGACUGGCGAGCUAGAGUAUGGCAGAGGGGGGUAGAAUUCCACGUGUAGCAGUGAAAUGCGUAGAGAUGUGGAGGAAUACCGAUGGCGAAGGCAGCCCUCUGGGCCAAUACUGACGCUCAUGCACGAAAGCGUGGGGAGCAAACAGGAUUAGAUACCCCUGUAGUCCCUGUCUCUUAUAC
rnacentral:rRNA from 1 species